GACGAACCGUGCGAACGUUAUUCGGAAUCACUGGGCUUAAAGCGCGUGUAGGCGGAUGGGGACGUCGGUCGCUGAAAUCCCCCGGCUCAACCGGGGAACGGGCGCCGAAACGCCCCGUCUCGAGGGACGUAGGGGGACCUGGAACUUCCGGUGGAGCGGUGAAAUGCGUUGAGAUCGGAAGGAACGCCCGUGGCGAAGGCGGGUUGCUGGGCCGACACUGACGCUGAGGCGCGAAAGCUAGGGGAGCGAACGGG
rnacentral:rRNA from 1 species